CCCUCCAAUAUGCCAAAAGGAUACACAAGUGAAGCGAGCGGUCCUCUUCUCUUUCGGCGAAGGUCUCUAAAGAAUCUCCUAAACCACCUGACUUAAUCUGCUAGUAGAGACACUCUUGAGAAGAUACAUAAAAGAGAGGGAAUGAAAUGCACUAGUUUGAUUGCUAUGCUAUUAUUGGCAACGAUGUGGUGAUAGUUGAUCGACGAGUUGCUUCAGUCUACCUUGUUGAAUCAUCUACAUAGAUUGAGGAUAUGCCUUCCCUUUUUGUAACAUACCCAGGUGCCCUCAUCCCUUAUGUUUAGGAGCGGGAUCUGCCCAAGAAUGACUAGCCCUGUGGUGGUAUGGAAGGCACAGACUCUGUGACACCAACAUUCAACAAAGUCAUAUGAGGAGCUGGCUUCCCUCAAAGUAGCUAUGGAUGACUUGCCCAUGGUAAAGAGGGUACUCUAAAUCAAUUGUCCAACAUAUUAGAGUUGAAACUGAUCCGACAGCUUGUGGAAUGUGGCCCAUUACUAAAAGAGAUAUCAAAACUGAAGAAUCAUGAAGAGUGGUCCAAGAGCGUUCCCAUUUUUCUCACUCAUCGGUGAUUGCUUUUGGAAUGAUACUGAACUCCAAUAAACCAAAACGUGUUGUAGACCCCCAAUUAGGAGUUUAUACCUAAAUUGAGAUUAGAAAUUUUAGAGAAAAUAAAGAUAUGAUAGAUGUUAAAUAUGAAGUGAUGCAACGGGACAGAAGGAGAGAAAUAAUUGUAAUUAGGGUGUAGUUAGUGUUAGCAUGUUUUAAAAUUGAUAUUAUACAAUAAAUAUCUACCACGUUAAGGAUUGACUUUAA